rnacentral:rRNA from 1 species
AUUAACGCUGGCGGCGUGCCUAAUACCUGCAAGUCGAGCGAACGGACGAGAAGCUUGCUUCUCUGAUGUUAGCGGCGGACGGGUGAGUAACACGUGGAUAACCUACCUAUAAGACUGGGAUAACUUCGGGAAACCGGAGCUAAUACCGGAUAAUAUUUUGAACCGCAUGGUUCCAAAGUGAAAGACGGUCUUGCUGUCACUUAUAGAUGGAUCCGCGCUGCAUUAGCUAGUUGGUAAGGUAACGGCUUACCAAGGCAACGAUGCAUAGCCGACCUGAGAGGGUGAUCGGCCACACUGGAACUGAGACACGGUCCAGACUCCUACGGGAGGCAGCAGUAGGGAAUCUUCCGCAAUGGGCGAAAGCCUGACGGAGCAACGCCGCGUGAGUGAUGAAGGUCUUCGGAUCGUAAAACUCUGUUAUUAGGGAAGAACAUAUGUGUAAGUAACUGUGCACAUCUUGACGGUACCUAAUCAGAAAGCCACGGCUAACUACGUG